GGCGGAAGUGACUGAUCAAUUCAGGGGUGUGGGGUUCGUUUAGGUUUUGCCCUGUGUAUGACCUCUUUUGGAGCCAUGAAACCAGAGAACUCGAAUAUAGCAAUCAACAUAUGUCACUAUUGACCUCUGAAAAUAAAGGAGGAAGAGGAGAAAGGCAGUGUGGAGGUGGGAUUGGACAAAGGCAUGAUCCUUGGAGGAAAGGUUAUUUUAGGGCAAUGAUGGAAAGCACCAAGUGGAGCCUGGAGCUAGACUGAUCUGUGUUCAAUCCUGUCUUGGUUACUCAUUGCGGAGCCUUGACUUUCAUGUCUCUGUAAUGUCUCUGACAGUAUCUGCCUCACAGGGUUGCUGUGCAAAUCAAGCGAGAUGUCUGAGGAAUAGUCUUAGUGGAUUAUCCCAAACUUGACACAUUUUUUGCAAAAUGCUAUACAAAAAGAAGAUACAUGUGAUUAUGACAAGAUUCUCCACUUGGUGUGACCGGUCUCAUACAACCCAAGGCUGUGUGUCCAAACGCAAUUGCACUGAUCUUGACAAUAAUCAAAAUGUAGCCAGGUGCAUUGG
rnacentral:lncRNA from 1 species